rnacentral:rRNA from 1 species
GACGAACGCUGGCGGCGUGCUUAACACAUGCAAGUCGAACGGAAAGGCCCUGCUUUUGUGGGGUGCUCGAGUGGCGAACGGGUGAGUAACACGCGAGUAACCUGCCCUUGACUUUGGGAUAACUUCAGGAAACUGGGGCUAAUACCGGAUAGGAGCUCCUGCUGCAUGGUGGGGGUUGGAAAGUUUCGGCGGUUGGGGAUGGACUCGCGGCUUAUCAGCUUGUUGGUGGGGUAGUGGCUUACCAAGGCUUUGACGGGUAGCCGGCCUGAGAGGGUGACCGGCCACAUUGGGACUGCGAUACGGCCCAGACUCCUACGGGAGGCAGCAGUGGGGAAUAUUGCACAAUGGGCGGAAGCCUGAUGCAGCAACGCCGCGUGCGGGAUGACGGCCUUCGGGUUGUAAACCGCUUUCGCCUGUGACGAAGCGUGAGUGACGGUAAUGGGUAAAGAAGCACCGGCUAACUACGUG